UUCCCUUAGUAUGAGUUAAGGGUAUUAUCUGCUCUAUGAUGUAUUUGAAUAGCUGCAGUUUCUGCACUAAGGUAGCAUAAUCAAUUGUUUUUUAAUUGGAGACUGGAAUGAAGGAUAGAAUGGGUGAUUUUUUUCUUAUUUUAAGUAGUUGAAUUUAGAUUAAUAGUAAGAAUACUUUUAUAUUAUUUGGGGACGAUAAGACCCUAUAAAGCUUUAUAGAGAAAUUCAAAUUGUUUUGGUUAUACUGUUUUGUUGGGGCAACAUUUUAAGAAUAAGUAGCUUAGGAUUUAAAUUUUUCUACUCUUAGUGAAGUUGAUGAGCCAUAAUUUUUGAUUGUAGGAAUUAGUUACUUUAGGGAUAACAGCAUAAUUAUAGUUAGAGAGUACAUAUUAACAACUUUGAUUGUGACCUCGAUGUUGGAUCAAUUUCCUCUCUGGUGCAGAGGUUAGGUUAGGGGGUCUGUUCGACCCAUAAAUAAUUA
rnacentral:rRNA from 1 species